GGGUCUGUUGCUUCCAGCUGUCCCUGGAGGAUGGGAGCUAUUUAAGAACUCUCUCCAUUGAUUGCAGUUGUGUGGGACCCAUGAGGGUAAUUCCCCCUGGCCACCAGAGUCAUGUAGGGAUGUCCACAAAAAUUGGGCACUAGCUGAGGGUCUAAGCUCUUUUCUGCAAUACACAGGUGAGCUGGUGCAAGGCAGAGGGAGACCGGGAAGAUGGCAUCCACCGGCCUUUGUUUCCUGAGAGCUCAUGUGUGGCCUGUAGAUGUGUGUCAGAUCAGAAGCCUGUCCCUCAAGGCCAAAGCUCCAGGACAGGCAAAUAGGCCUCUGUCUCAGAAAGACUGGGGGUCUGCUCCAGUAUGUUAUCAACGCAGGACCCUGGAGUUGGUAGGCUACCAAGAGCGUUCGCGCUCAUUGCUGUGGUCUCGCGAGACCCGGAACACACGCUGCCCUGCCCUCCUGAGCCGCGCGGUCACCGCGCAGCAGUAGCGGAACGCCGGCCAACGGACAUGUGUGAAAGCAGUCCUCUGGGAGAUGCACACGCUUUGGUAUGUGGUAGAGGAAACGUGUAUUUCUUUUUCUGUGAAAAAGAAAGAAAGAAAAAAACCCUAGCAUUAAAUGAGGGGGACAAAAAUGGCGCCUGUUAGCUGAAGUGAGGCCGAGAGAGGAAGAGCUGGAGAUGGUGGCCGCCAGCCAGCAGCCUCUGCGUGUGUCCUAGAUUACAUGCCUGACCCUCAGGCUGCGACUUGAAGAUCUGUAAAUGGCGCCCGUAGGGCCACAAAGUUGGGAGCUUCUGGAUUGGCUGCUUCUGCGCUUGAACCCUGGGGCAGGCAAGAGGCUUUUCAUGGUACUUGACAUGCAGUCAUGGAUUGGCACAACAUAACUAUUCGUUGAAGUAGGUGGCAAGCAUCCAGCUCUGGGCCACCACAGCAGCUCCACCCCCUGGUCCAGAUAGACCUUGUUCUGCUUCACUUAACUGUUUGGCAAGUGAGUUAUUCAGAAAAGGAAAGGAACAGGCAGAAGAGGAAGAGUCCUUGCACCAUUUUAAGAUAUGUGAGAAACAAAUCAGCCUUUUGGCCACAGUGGUUGGAGUCGUGCUUUCUUAGGGCUCAGGAUUCCCUGACUGGAGCACGGCAGACAAAGCUUCAUCGUGGGAAGGAGCUGAUCUGGAUUAUAAGAAAUUUGGAAGGAAAAAGAAAACAUAUAAAUUGAAAACACACUUUUAUUGCAACACCGAGCAAGAAAUUUCAAGUUUCACCCUGUGUAUGUCUGUGUCCUUGGGUCUGUCAAGUUGAAGGUCACUCACUAACACUUUGGAAGGAAAGAUUUCUGCCAAGAGGGAGAUUUGAUGAAGAGAAACAUCUCUGAGAGUAUACAGAGCCCCUGGCUGCUGAAUUCCCAGUGGAGAUUUCACAUCUGCUUGUCAUAUAAACUUCAGCUCUGGUCUAGUGAGGAUUAAAGUCUCCCUGAGAUCCUGACUGAGCAGCCUUUCUCCCACUUUAUUUGACACCGCACUAUAUCACGGCAGUGCUGGCUCCUUCCCCACACACCGUGUGUAGUAAAUCCUCUGCACGCCACAAGGUCAGCCGAGUAUUAGAUGCAGAGUCCUGUCAGAGGUGCUGACAGCUCCAUCUUUCUGAGGACAUGCAUCUUGUGUUGUCACUUCUUCAAGUUUUUGGAAGUGCUGGGAAGGAGAAGAAGCUGUAAUUGAAAUGGGCAGGCGUGGCAGGAGAAAAGAAGAGGCAAAAUAAAUAUGGGGAAUGAUAACAGAAACAUGAAUCAAGCACUAUCGCAGCUCAGGGGACACUGGGUAGGAGAGAAAGCAGUGUCCACUUGAGAGGCCGUGGAAGAAGCAAUGUCAUCAAGAAACAUCUGAAAUGAAGUCGAGAAUACCAAGAGGCCAUAAAAUGGAGCCAGAAGACCACUGGGGAGGAUUCAAUGACUUUUGUAAAGAAUGAAAAGGAUGCUAAGAAGCCGCUGUUAGAACUUUAAAAGAUGCAAUGCAAAAUGUUACUGAAGUCAUUCAAGAAUACUUCAGAAGAAAAUUAUUCCAAGGCCAAGCAAAUUAUUAUGAUUAUAAUGCGAGUAAAGAAUGGUGUGAAAAGACAGUGAACACUCACUACCAUGUGAGAGAUGUGCACACAGAAAUUCCUCAAUUGGGAGACUUAAAGUUGACCAAGCAGCCAUAUAUUGUACUAACUACAGUAACAGUGAAGCCCCAGAUGUUGUAUGAGUUUUCAAGAGUGAGAAGAGUUUGGGCACAAGCACAGAGAUCAGACACAAUCGUGCAGAGGUACCAUCGAAAUUUGGCCAGUCUGGGAGCACAUGAGAGAGAGAGAGAGAGAGAGAGAGACAGAGCACAAGCAGGAGAGGAGCAGAGAGAG